rnacentral:rRNA from 1 species
UACAGAGGUCUCGAGCGUUGUUCGGAUUCAUUGGGCGUAAAGGGCGCGUAGGCGGCGGGGUAAGUCUGGUGUGAAAUCUCGGAGCUCAACUCCGAAACUGCACUGGAUACUGCUCUGCUAGAGGGCUGGAGAGGAGAUCGGAAUUCACGGUGUAGCAGUGAAAUGCGUAGAUAUCGUGAGGAAGACCAGUGGCGAAGGCGGAUCUCUGGACAGCUCCUGACGCUGAGGCGCGAAGGCUAGGGGAGCAAACAGG